rnacentral:rRNA from 1 species
AUACGGAGGUUGCAAGCGUUAUUCGGAAUCACUGGGCGUAAUGGACGCGUAGGCGGGUUGGCAAGUCAGAUGUGAAAUCCUACAGCUUAACUGUAGAACUGCAUUUGAAACUGCUAACCUAGAGUAUGGGAGGGGGAGAUGGAAUUAGUGGUGUAGGGGUAAAAUCCGUAGAUAUCACUAGGAAUACCGAAAGCGAAGGCGAUCUCCUGGAACAUAACUGACGCUAAGGCGUGAAAGCGUGGGGAGCAAACAGGAUUAGAAACCCCAGUAGUCC